GGACAAUGUUGGCGACAGCUCCGAUUUUAUACAGAAAGGUCUAUCCAAGCUAUUAAGGUUCGAACGCUGAUCGUAUCGACUAAUUUUGUGGCUUCCAUGCUAUACGGACUUGUUCAGUUGUUAGAGAAUCCAGUUUAGAGCGAUCCCACUAAGGACCGUGUGAGGAUGCAAAUUGAACAAAACUGUUAGAGAAUCCUAGUUCUUUAGUUGGGGAAGGCAGGAGGUUAUUAAUUAAUGCAAUUACGUUUAGUUGAGAAACUGAAUUUUGUUUUUUUUUUCCUGUGGAUUGGAGCGAUGAGCGAUGUCUGGAUCUUUCCAUAGGGAUCGUCUGUUUUUAUUUUUAUUUUUGGGGAGAUGCAAUGAACGUCUAGUUCUCUUCCUGUUGUAAAUUAUUUGUUUCUACUUUGAAUUGGUUUGGUGCAGUCCGUAGAAGCAUUCUUGUUGGGAUUCUCUUUAUAUUGAAGUUCCAGUUGGUAUAAAUUUGCCCGACAAAUUAGUUUUAUAUUGCUUCUGUGUUGAAAAGUUACUAGGCCAUCAGCUUGCACGAUCCCUCUACAUGGAUUUACCCCUUGACUUUCUCCAAAACUCCUAUUCUGUUAUCUUUGUUUUCUGUGGAAUUUGGCUCUAUUUUGUGACUUCAAAACUAUAUCUGCAAGGAUGCUCAUGGGCAUGCGUAGAGUGGAUGGAUUGGAUGUUUUGGCCAACUUUUAUAAGCUUGCUCUUUGAAUGAGAUGGUGCACUGGACGUGUUGCUUCAGAAAUUGAGCCUUCCUGCAGGAUAUAUAUUGUAUAGGCCCCGAAACGAGAUGGAAGGCUGUGAUCUCUGGAUAAAAUUUUGCUUACAAACGAAGCAUCUAGCGUUAGCGAGUAUAUAAGCUAGUGGAAUAUAUAAGUUAGUGGAAUACCUGAUGGAGCUUGUAUAAUUCUGCUUGUAGACAUAUUUGUAUCUUGUCAGUUGCUCACUUUGUUGAGCAAAUUGUGUAACUUUGUAUCGUAGCACAAGAGUUGUGGUUGGCCAAAAAUGAAGCAUGAAUUGUGCAUAUAGCACUUGUUAUCAUUUUGUUCAUGUGUUGUAUGAGCUACACCUGAUGUUGAACCUGCGAAGAAAAACUAAUUGGUUUGAAGACGUCGCAAAGAAAUUGAGUCUUUCUGCAGGAUAUGUCGUAUAGGCCCAGAAACCUGAUGGAGCUUGUAUGAUUCUGCUUGUAUUUUUGGAAUACCUGAUGGAGCUUGUAUAAUUCUGCUCGUAGACAUAUUUGUAUCUUGUCAGUUGCUCACUUUGUUGAGCAAAUUGUGUAACUUUGUAUCAUAGCACAAGAGUGGUGGUCGGCAAAAAAUGAAGCAUGAAUUGUGUAGAUAGCACUUGUUAUCA